UCAUGCGGUAAACAAAAACACCGUCGUUCAGGCACGCAGUAAAGCUUAGAACUAAUGUUCUUCAGCUUAAUCUGGUUCAUCUCUUAUCUUGGUUUCAAUGAUUCUUGAUAACUCUUUUGGUCUUAGCUUCGUUCCUUUCAUUUCUUGUUGCUGGCAUAUGGGUCAAAUUCUGGCUUAACAAACAAUCCGUUGUUGGACUUGGAAACUUGGUGUACAAUAGUACAAGCCACCGAUGAAGAAGAGGAAGUGUCUGCCUUAUACAGUAGGUAUGCUGGAGAUCGACAGUACGCUACACCUAAGCCAGAAUUUGAAACACAUGCACAUAAAAGGCGUAGUUCAGAACCUACGGCUGGAGAGGACUUCAGGAAAUGUAAAUUCCUUUCAUGCCCUCUAACGAUAUGAGGAUUACCAGGAUAAUUUAAGUUAUUUAAUAUUAAUGAAAACUAGUGUAUUCUCUUGGUGUUAUAAUGUACAAUACAUAAUGUUUAAAUACAACAAGUUUGAUUGUCAGUUUCUCUAAUCUAGGUACAAAUCCAAGAAUAUAGGAGAUUUUUUUGGCAUAUUCUAUUUCCCUCCGUCAGUCUAAUCGUUAGCGCCAAAUGGAUAGACUGGAUUUGAAUUCCUCGAAUAGAGAUGUAGGAAGACCUUUGGUGAAUAUGUCUGCAAACUGAGAAGAGCAUGGAACAUGAAGAACUCAAACUUGACCCAUGUUUACUUUCUCGUGAACAAAGUGAAUGUCUAUCUCCACAUGCUUUGUUCUCUGAUGCUUCACUGUAUUUUUUGAAGAUAAAAACCGCACUGAUAUUAUCUCAGUAGACAAGAGUGCAAUGGUGAUCCGACACUUGAGCUCGAGCACAAUGUUUCUUAUCCAGCAUGUUUCAGCUACUACAUUUGCACCCAUUUGUACUCAGAUUCAGAGGUAGACCUUAACACUGUUGGCUGCCGUUUGAAAGAGCAUAAGAUGAGGCUGUCACCGAGAAAAACAUAAUAUACAGAGGUAGAUCGACGUGUGUCGAGAGAGCAUGCCCAAUCGGCGUCAGUGUAGGCUGUGAGUGUGUUAGAGCUUGAUUUGUAUAGCUGUAAGCCAUUUGAUUGGGUUCCCUGCAGGUAUCCAAAAACUCGCUUCAAGGCAUUGAGAUGAUUGACUCGCGGAUCAUGCAUGAAAAGACACAGCUGGUGUACUGCAUAUUGUAUGUCCGGUUGUGUCAAUGUAAGGUACUGAAGGGCUCCAGCUAGGGUGCGAUGUAAUAUGCCAAACAACAUCUCCUAUAUUCUUGGAUAUGUAUCGAAAAGAAGAGGAAGAAGGUCUCAAGAGCUUUGUAGCUCUGAUACCAUGAAAACUAGUGUAUUCCCUUGGUGUUACAAUGUACCAUACGUAAUGUUUAAAUACAACAAGUUCGAUUGUCAGUUCCUCUAAUUUAGGUACAGAUCCAAGAAUAUAGAGAAUUUUGUUUGGAAUAUUCUAUCAAAUAAGACCAGUAAGUAGUUGUAUUUUUUUUUAGUGAUGAUGAGAUUUUUCUUAGACAGAUGUAAGUUGUGUUGAGCUUGAAAUUAGCCUGUGAUAUUGUAUUUUUUUGUAGAACUAGGAAUCAUCUGAGAUUAAGAUUAAAGGGAGUUAAAAAAAAAAAGAUUAAAGGGAGUUUGAAUCAUAUGGAGCAAAUAAACGGGUAGGUUAUCCUGAAUUCCUGACAAUUCCCGUACGAGUUCGGUAAGAAGUUAUGUAAUGGCUUCCCCUGGUAAGGGGUGGUUUAUUUGACCCUUCAUAAUUGAUAAAAAAAAUUCUGCAAUGAAUCCAUUAAACCGCAGGUGGUAGCCAGCCGCAUCUUGAAAUGGGGUCAAUUUGAUUCCAACCAUAUAUUAUAGGGGUCAUUUGUAAGAUUUCAUCAAAUUUCUUUCUUGAAAUACAUGUAAAAGAAUUUGUUUAUACAAAUUAAUAGUGGUCAUUUGACACCCUCCCCCCCCCCCCUUGCAUACAUAUAGCUCCACCACUGGUGGUCAGAGGCGGAUACACUUGAGUCAAUAGGGUGUCAUAUGACACUCGUUAAAUCUCGAUAAAUAAUAGUUUGUUACUGAAAACAUUGAAAAUUCAGCAGCUCUGCUGGAAGAAGUCACCUCUUGACACCCCGAAACCCAAGUUCAAAACUCACUGAUGACACCUUUGUGUUUUUUUGAGACCUCUUAAAUGCAUUCUUGGAUCCGCCACCGCUGGUGGUAGGUCUCGGAUUUGAAAACCUAUUAAAAAUAAAUGGCGCCUGUCUUAUAGACCUACUUGUUUGAUUUAAAGAAUCCUGUUUCAAAUGGAUCUGUUCUUGCAGAUUUUUUUUCUGUUUUGUUAAUGUUUUCUUCUGAAACUCCUCAGGUUCAGUUGGUGGCUAAUGAUCAGCUGACAAAAAAAAAACGAGAGGCUAUGAUUUCACUGAGUACAUUAAAGAGAGCAGGAGUAUGAGCACAGCGUGUCCAAGCACCUAGUGGCGGACCAACUAAGGCCCAAGGGGGGUCAAUUGACACCCCUAAAAUAGUCAAAUUAAUAAAUUUACAUAGGAUUUAUAAAAGAAUCUGUAGAAGAAAUGGUUAUUCUAUACCCUUUGAUACCGACCAGUGUUCAAGUCCCCAUUGGCACCUAUUUUUUUUCUAGAAAGUUAUAUAUAUAUAUAUAUAUAUAUAUGUGACACCGAUAAAAUAAAUAUCUGGAUCCACCACUGAAGUACCAUGAUGGAGACAGACAUGGCGAGCUAAAAAAGAGUCGUAUCAACUACUAUAAAGACGAGCAAGAGGACACCGACCGUUAUAGUCAUCGCUACGUUAAAAUAGAGGAAGAUGAGUAUAGGUAGGAAUGUGAUUACAAGUGUUUUAGUCGAUAUCUCGAAAACAGGACCAAAAUACUGAUUCAAUAUAGCUAUUGGUUGACUGGUUGGACUGGUGUAAUCUGUCGAUCCAAGGUUUCUAUUAUUUAAAUAUAAAUACAUAUAAUCAUAUAAACUUAAACUUAUAUAGACCUUAAAAAGUAGUUCUACAUAUAAUAUAUUCUUUGCUCUUUUAUAUUAACAAAAAUAAAUAAAUAUUAAUAUAAAUUUAGCUAUAUAUAUAGUAAACAAGUGAAUAGUAUGUAAAGCGAAAUUGAUAAAUAAAUAAAAACCGAAUGAUUACCGUUUAAAUUAUCGUAUUUUUAUUCUUAUAACUAAAAUUUCAAAGUUUAUGAAUAUGGCAAAAUGAAAAUAGUAUAUGAGAGUCAAAAGAGGUAUUUUCACCGUCUUUCCUUAAAAUAGAAAAUUAAAUAGAAGUUAACUAAAAUUAAUUACCAAAUAUGAUUAUGAAAUAUUAAAUUUUAAUAACAGUUGAAAACAUAUUAAUUACAAGUUAGUUAUUUAGAACCAGGUUUUAACCAGUUUUUCUGAAAUUUGGGUUUUAAACCGAACCGGACUCGGUUUCUUCAACGAUCACUGUCGGACUAGUUGACCGCUCGGUCCGGUUCGGUUUUCAAAAUACUGGUUUUUGUAGAACAUGAUGGAAUUUUUUUUAAUCACAAUUAUAGUUAUAUCACAAUCCUCAUACAUCUCUAACAAGAUCACAUCAAUUUCGUCGACCACAUAGCCAAUUUCGUAGUCCUUUCCGGUAAAAGAACUGCUUUGUUAAUUUCAUAAUAUUUUUGUUAAUCUUUUGGACAUGAGGAAAUUACAAAACAAAACCUAUUAAUUAUAAGUUAGUUUUUUAGAACAGGUUUUGAAUUUAACGCGAUUCACCGGUUAUUCUCAAAUUCGGAUUUUAAACCGAACCGGACUCGGCUUCUUCAACGAAAUAUUGUCGAACUGGUUCGACAGUUCGGUCCGGUUCGGUUUUCAAAUACUGGUUUUUGUAGAACAUGAUGGCAUUUUUUUUAAUCACAGCAAUACUAAUACCACAAUCCUCGUACAUCUAUAACAAGAGCACAUCAAUUUCGUCGACCACAUUGCCAAUUUCGUAGUCCUUUGCGGGAAGAGAUACUUUUAUUAAUCUUUUGGACAGGAGGAAAUUACAAAACAAAAGUCUCCGUUACCGGAUAAUGAACCAGGGUCUCCUGGGUGAAACCCAGAUAUCCUAACCGCUGAAAGACAACGGAUUUUGUUUAACUUUUUUCAUAUUAUUAUAAGUACCCUUAUAGAUACGUAUUAAUUUAAUUUACAUCAUUCACAUACAGUACUUUGUUACAUGUUUCUUUUGUUUUUCUUAACGACCCUGUUUCAUGAUAAAAUAUUUAUUAAAAUCCAAGGUCAUACACGUCGUGCGUCUGAGUAUAUCCUACUAUAUAAAAGCUACUAAUUUUGAGGCUUCUUAUGAGUGCCACAUAGGACAAAAUAUCCUCCACCAAUCAAACUGUCACGUCAUCGCGAAUGUUUAGAUGAUGGGUCUCGAACCAUCCUAACCCAUCAAAAUAGUCAGCCUAUUGUAUAACUUAUAGCUUCCUUUUCUUUAGCCUACUUACCUUAGACGUCUCCAGCGACUCCAAAUCUGUUCGUCUACCCAACUUCACCGGUGUAACUCCUACGACUACAACAACGGCACUUCAAUGCUCCGUUAUAACUCAUGAAGUGAAGACUCUUUGUACCUCUCCACAUCCCUCCUUUCAAUCUCUUGCCCAGUUCCUUAAAUUUGUUUUGUCACAAAAAGUUAGUGCAUGAGAUAGUUUUUGAAAUUCAAAUAAUACUAGGUAUUUUUCUGCACCAUGUGCAAUGAUAAAUUUUUUAAAAGUUAAAUUAUAUUUAAAAUGAAAUUUAUUAAUAUUAUAUAUUUUAUUAUUUUUGACUAAUAUUUAAUAUAAAAUUAACUAUUUUUGAGACUAUAAUGUUUGCUAUUGUGAUUAACACCUUAUUACAGUACUCUGUUUGUAUCUUCUUUUAUUAGUCAUCCUCCUGUUCUUUUUUUCUUUUUGGUAAAAUGAUUAAAAAAAAGACUGAAGCUAAAAUUAAUUUUUUUGUUCUUGAUCAUUCACGUUAUCUUCAAAGUUAAUAACAUGGUCAACGUAAAUGAUCGACGUUGAGAUUUCAGCUUUUUUGAUUUUUACUAUUCUAAUGUUUCAAUAUAAUUUGAAUAUUCUCUUUGUUUUAUAAUAUAAUGGUUUAAAAGUAUUUUUUGUUUCAUUAUAUAAAUUGUUUUUAUAUUUCAAUGUAACUUUAUAUUUAUUAAAUAUUGUGUAGCCAAUUAAAUUAUGUAAAUUACUGUAUAAUUGAUUAAAUUUAUAUAUUAAAUGACAGUUUUUUAAAGUAAUAACUUUUAAAUAUUACAUAUUUUAACUAAAAUUGAUUACAUUUUGAAACAGAUAGAGUAAUCUAUAAACUAACUCUAUAUAGAUAUAAGGACAAAAUUGUAAAGUGGUCUCAUCUUGAAUUUCUCUCAUUCUGUGCAUUCCUAAUUGGGAGAAAAUAAUCAAUAUCUAAUUUUAUGUUACUCUCAAUAUAUUAGAAAUAGUCAAACCGUAAACCAAUUAAGGAUGAUGUAAGAAAGACGUAAAGAUGUAUUUUCCGUUAUCACAAAUAUAUAAUCAAUUGACAACAACUUAAUUAUAUCCAGCGUAGGACAACAUAGAAGAGUUUCCAUACCUUCUAAUAUUAUAAUAUCUCACUAUAUUAUUGGUUAAAUCAGUUUUCUCUAGCACAAAUACUCACUUCAUUCUUAGAGUUUAAGUUUUUCUAUCUGAUGAUAUUAGUAGUUUGAUCCCAAAAAAAAAAAACGGUCGAACUGUACAUUAUAAUUGGAGAAAAAAAACAAACAAAAAUCAACCGAAAACUUUUAAGGUAUAUGAAACAAAAAUUGGAAAUAUCAAUUCUCUGCAUUUAAAGAAUAAUGCAAUAAAAAUAUA